rnacentral:rRNA from 1 species
GAAUUUUUCGCAAUGGGGGAAACCCUGACGAAGCAACGCCGCGUGGAGGAUGAAGGCCUUCGGGUCGUAAACUCCUGUCGACCGGGACGAAAGUAGUCCGACCCAAUACGUCGGGCUAUCGACUGUACCGGUGGAGGAAGCCACGGCUAACUCGGUGCCAGCAGCCGCGGUAAUACAGAGGUGGCAAGCGUUGUUCGGAAUUACUGGGCGUAAAGGGCGCGUAGGCGGCCCGAUAAGUCCCGCGUGAAAGCCCCCGGCUCAACUGGGGAACGGCGCGGGAAACUAUCGGGCUUGAGUUCGGGAGAGGGAAGCGGAAUUCCGGGUGUAGCGGUGAAAUGCGUAGAUAUCCGGAGGAACACCGGUGGCGAAGGCGGCUUCCUGGACCGACACUGACGCUGAGGCGCGAAAGCUAGGGGAGCAAACGGGA